rnacentral:rRNA from 1 species
UGCAUGUUUGACGAGUGCUUCGCCCUUCACAGGCGCACGGGUGCGUAACGCGUGGGAAUCUGCCCCUUGGUUCGGGAUAACAGUUGGAAACGACUGCUAAUACCGGAUGAUGACGUAAGUCCAAAGAUUUAUCGCCAUGGGAUGAGCCCGCGUCUGAUUAGCUAGUUGGUGGGGUAACGGCCUACCAAGGCGACGAUCAGUAGCUGGUCUGAGAGGAUGAUCAGCCACACUGGGACUGAGACACGGCCCAGACUCCUACGGGAGGCAGCAGUGGGGAAUAUUGGACAAUGGGCGCAAGCCUGAUCCAGCCAUGCCGCGUGAGUGAUGAAGGCCUUAGGGUUGUAAAGCUCUUUUGUCCGGGACGAUAAUGACGGUACCGGAAGAAUAAGCCCCGGCUAACUUCGUGCCAGCAGCCGCGGUAAU